rnacentral:rRNA from 1 species
GGGAAGNCCAGCCAGUUGGGGGNAAUNAUUUGGACAAAUUGGGCCCAAAGCCGUGAAUUCCAAGCCAAUAACCNGCGUUGGGUNAAACCNAGGCCUUUCGGGUUGUUAAAAGCCCNUUUUGUUUUGGGAAAGAAAANUCCCUCUCGAAUUNGAUANCUCGGUUGGGGGAUGNCCGGUACCCCAAAGAAUUAAGCACCCGGGUUAACUUCGUGCCCAGCCAGCCCGCCGGUUAAUAACGAAGGGGUGCAAGCGUUUACUCGGAAUUUACCUGGGCNUNAAAGCGUGCGUAGGUGGUGGUUUUAAGUUGCCUGUGAAACCCCUGGGCUCAACCCUGGGAAUUGCAGUGGAUACUGGAUCACUAGAGUGUGGUAGAGGGAUCCGGAAAUUUCUGGUGUANCAGUGAAAUGCGUAGAGAUCAGAAGGAACAUCCGUGUCGAAGNCGGCAUCCUGGGCCAACACUGACACUGAGGCACGCAAGCGUGGGGAGCANACAGGAUUAGAUACCCUGGUAGUCCACGCCNUAAACGAUGCGAACUGGAUGUUGGGUUCAACUUGGCACCCAGUAUCGAAGCUAACGCGUUAAGUUCNCCGCCUGGGGAGUACGGUCGCAAGACUGAAACUCAAAGGGAAUUGACGGGG